GGAGAUGGUGGAGGUGGAGAUUGGAGGAAGAGAGUUGUAGUAGUAGUAGGGUGAAUGAGGCUUAGGAGAUGGUGGAGGUAGAGAUUUAUAGUAUUAAGAUGUUUGAGAAUAAAUACGUAUGUUGAAGAUCUAAUUUAUUAUGUUAUUAAUUUGUAAAAAAUUAUUCUUUAUUUUAUUAUCAUAUUCAUUAUUAAAUUGUUAAUUUGAUAAGUCAUUGAUUAAAAUUAGAUGUUUGUUAUCAUGAUAGAGAUUAUGAUAAUGAGAAACAAAUUUUUUAUAAUUUUAAUUCAAAUUAUUCUUGAUAGUAUGAUUAUCGUGAAUAGGACAUCAAUAAUCAUGAUAGAUUAAUAUAUAUGUAAUGAUCUUUAUUGAAUAAAGAUUAAUAAAUUUUUAUUGAAUAAUGAUCUUUAACACGAGAUUAUCAUAGUAAUUAAUAAGUUAUUGGUAUAUUUUAAUUUCGGAUGCCUAAUGUCUUAGAACACUAGUUGAAUGAAUAUUAGAUAUGAUUAAAUACUUGUAAAAUUAAUGAUUAAUCAAGAAGGAAUCCAUCAAUUCUAGGUAAUGAGUUUGAGUUCUAUUUUAGAAUUAAGACAUUGACUAAGGCAAUUGAAUGAAAGAAGAAAAUAGUUUCUUAAGUCAUUCAUGUGUUAGCUUAUUAGAGUUUGACAAUAAUACUAUACUCUAGAGUUAACCUAUGAUGGAAGCAAAUAUUAUAUUCUUCUUCUAUUGGUUCUCGAAGGGAAAAAGAUUUUGUUUCAGGUUAUCCGGACUUUAAGGAGUGUUGUUAAACGCCUAACUUGAUUAAUAAAUUAAUUAUGAUUAAUUUAUUAUCAAUUUAGUAUUGAACCUACAAGGUCACACACAAACGAGUAUUUCAAUAUUUACAAAAGAAAAUAAUUUAUUUUGAUAAUUAAAUUAGAGAAUUUAAUUUAAUCAAAUAAAUAUUUUAGUGAAAUAUUAUUAUAUUUUUUGCUAGGACCAAUAAUAUAAUUAAUAUAUAAAAAGGGAAUAUUAUUUUAUAAUUGUGAAGAUGUCCAUAAAAUAAGAAUAAUAUUCAAUUGCUAUGUAUCAAGGAUGUGAUUAAUUAUUGUAAUUAGUUAUGUGAUUAAUUAUGAAUUAUCUUUAUCUUAAAUCAGUAAGCUUCUUAAAAUAAAAUAUAUGAGAUAAUAUUUUUUUUAUAAAGACAAAUAUAAAUGAAAUUAUUUUAUAUAUUUUCUUUUUUUUCUCACCCAAAUCCAUAUCUCUUUAAUAUUAUGAAUAAAAGUAUCUAUAUGAGGCAAAGCGUACUAAAUAAAGACUGAAAAAGGUUCAAGUCUAGUUUUAGACGUGAAAAGUAGAAAAAAAAUUAUUCUUUAGAGUUUCAUCCAUCAAAGAAUUUGAUAAUAAAGAUUGACCUGAGUAUAGAUACAAGUAGAGUUUUUAGACUAUUAAAAAAAAUGUGUUGCUUCAAAACCUACAUUUUGAUGCAUUAAUUUAUUAUUUAUUUAUUUAUUAUUAUUGUAUAUUUUGAAUAUAAAAUAAAUCCUAAUUUUUUUCCUACAAUUAUUAGAAACAUUUUUAUGUAACUAUCAUACUACACACACGAGGAUAUGAGGAUAUGGUGAAUGAGGUGGUGGAAACUUAUAAUAGUAAGUUGGAAGAGAUGGUGGAGGAGAAGAUUUGUAGGAAUAAGGUAUUGGACGACUUCAUUUUGUGGAAAGAGUCAUGAUUUAAUUUGUUUUUCCUCUCCUUCUCUUAAAAUUUAGUUAUGCCCGUAUAUCUUAUUGAAAACCACAUUUUUUUAGUCUUUCUGGACUGGAUACCCCUACCCCUGGCCAUGAUCAUAAUUCAUAACUAUUAUAUAUAUAUUACACGUAUUUUAUUUGUAACAAAUGGUAUAUCGAUGAGUUUUCUGAAUGUUUGAUCACAUGGAAAAUUUCUGAACGCGUCCUAGAGACUGAAACAGUUUUAUUUGCGCAAUAUAGAGUGUCGGUUUACUAAAAGAACGCACAGAUAGAUAUAUAUCUAUUCCAAAAUGAAGCGUAUGUAUACACGGAAUGAAAAAUGAUUAGUAAUAAUAAAUUAAUUUUACGAAAAUUUAUAAUUCUUUUAUUUUUUAUCUCUCUUAGUCGUUAAAAAGAUUAUGUAAAAUAUUGUAUGAGGACAGUUUCUUAAUAGAAACAUUCUAAUGCAUGUGAUACGUACGGAAUUAUUAUAAUUACAGUUGCACGAAGUAUAUUAUUAAUUAAUAUUCUCCUGUUAACAACCUUUUUUAUUGAGUAGUGUUUUUUCAUUGGAGGAAAUCCUUAAAUAUAUUUUUGGUGAAUCUAAGUUUACUUAAGCGGUACAUUAAUUAGAAAAAAAUAUUUUUUCCCCUAUUUUGUUUAUAUAAGUAAAAAAGUGAGAAUUAUAUGAACGUGCGAAGUGUGUGUAUGAGAUAAUAUUUGUUUUACAUAAUAUACCCUAAAUCAUAAAAGAAGCUUCACUGUGUAACUUAAAUUAAAAUUUGUAUAUCUCCCCCAUGUGCGUCUGACUACUGUUACCAUGCAUAUUCUAAUUAAGAACCCUGUUAGUGCCUUUCUUCUUUUUAUCCUCUUUCCUUCAUGAUCACCAUUGUUAAAUGGCAGUCAAUUCCAUGUACGUAUUGCAUCUCUGAAUUCAAGUCUAGCUGUCUCAUCGAGUUUAAUUUGUGAUAAUUGGUCUCAAGUAAAAAAGACCACUAAUUUGAUCAUUAAAUAUAUAUAUAUAUAUAUAUAUAUAUAUAUAGACAUAUAUAUAUAUAUAUAUAUAUAUAUAUAUAUAUAUAUAUAUAUAUAUAUAUAUAUAUAUAUAUAUAUAUAUAUAUAUAUAUAUAUAUAUAUAUAUAUAUAUAUAUAUAUUGAACAAUGCUAAUUAAAUACCAUAUAUAGUCAGAAAUAGAUCAGUGGGGGGUGCAUGUAUGUUAAGUUAGAAAGAGAUAAGAUCGUGGUUGUGGCAUAUAGACGUGCAUGGGGUGGUGUGGCUUAUAUGAUAUGAGAAAAUCAAGUAAUUGCAGGCAUUUUUUUUAAAAAAUAAAAUGACUUCAUUAAUCGUCUCCAACAUCAGUUAUAUAUAUUGACAUGUUUUUUAAAAUAAUCAAAACUGUCUCGCUCCCAAAUCCCUCUCACUUCUUUUCUUCCCUCUCACUGGCUUAGGGAUUUUCACUUUCGAAAAACAUGACUUAGGCCAUAAUUGAAGCCAUUAGACAGUAAUAUAUCAUAUGAGCAGGGGCCAAUCCAAACUCAAAUGGCUGUGAGGACCGAUAAUAAAAAAUAAAAUUCAUCUAACACAUCAUAAAAAUAUAUAUUCAUAAAUUAAUGUUUUAAAAUGUUAAUUACAAUAAUAAUCUAUUAAAACACGGGACCUUAUUCUUAUAUGUACUAAAUUUUUUAUCAAUUCUUCAAUGUAUAUUAACAAAAUGUGAAUCAAGAAUCCAUCUUUCAUCUUCUUUAAUAAUUAUAGAUUAACAAAAUUUGAGAAAAAUAAAACCUACUAUAUAAUAAGUAGAAUUAGUCAAAUAUAAUAUUCGGAUAAGAUAUUUUACAAAAAAAGAAAUAAAAUUACUAUUGAUUUUAUAAUUUAAAAUUACAGAAAAUAAAAAUUGAUGGUAUAAUAACAAAAAUUGUUAAAAAAUAAUAUUUAAAUAUUUUUUUUAAAAAAAGACAAAAUUGCUAUUGAUUUUAUAGUUUGAAAAAAAAGAGAUAAAAACAAUUAUAUAAAUUGAUGGAUUUGAAUCCAUCCAUUUUUUUUUAUGGAUAAAUUAGAUGAAUUUAUUGUGGAUGAAUUAAUUGGAUAAUGGAUAAAUGAAUUCAUUUGUCACCACUAGCCUGGGACCUAGUCAUGUCCACCAUAGUGGAAAAGUUAUUUUGACCAUUGGAUUUAAAUUUUUCUUGAGAUAAGUGCAGGCUUAUCUUAAGACAAGUUACACUGGAUUAUUAUUAUUAUUAUUAUUAUUAUUAUUAUUAUUUUCCUUAAAAAGUGUUAUUCUUUCCUGUUCUAGUUUAUCGCCCCUUUCUUUCUCUCUCCGACUCUCCCUUCCAUCUACUUAUUCUCCUCCUCCCCUUUUUCAAAAUGUCAUGCUUCUUCGGUGACCUCAACAACUUCUUUGUCAUCAAGCUCCUCGUCGGACACGUAGUUAGCUAUGGUAGGAUUUGAAUACGAAAGAAUGGGCUUCAACGUCCACAAAAUGCUGAUUGGUGCGAUUGUUACUUUAAUGCAAGUGUAGGUAGGUUUGGAGCUUUGAUGUAGGUUUGGGAUAUGUGUGUGUGUGUGGAAAGAAACACGACCUAAAUUUAGGGGAUAUGUAGAUUAUUAUGCUUUUUUAUGCAAAUAUUGACAAAUUUAUUGCAAACAACACAAAAAGAUAUAUUAAAAGAAUUUCACAAUAAUUUGAAUGAAAUCAUACACAAUCAACCAUAUUAAUCUACAAAGAAACAAAUAAGAAAGCUCUAAAAGCAGCCUGAAUUGAUAUCAACAUUUCUAAUCUUGCUUCCUUGUCUUGAAUCUUUUUGAUUUGUCGCUUCCUUGAACUUAGUAAGAACAACACUUGAAAAAUGGCCACCAAAUAAAUAGAAGCAACCUCAUAUGAGUCAUGAAGAUCGUAGCUUAGAGGUGAUACACUCAGACUCUUAUUCAAAGAACUUGUAUAACAAAUUAUAUGCUUAACUCUGCUCCAAAUGGAACGGAAAUUUAUUCCACAAUGAAUACUAGAACCUGAAAUAAAAUAAAAGUUUUCAAUACUUCUCAGAGUUUAUAAAUGCAUAUAAAAUAGACAUUUAUCUANNNNNNNNNNNNNNNNNNNNNNNNNNNNNNNNNNNNNNNNNNNNNNNNNNNNNNNNNNNNNNNNNNNNNNNNNNNNNNNNNNNNNNNNNNNNNNNNNNNNNNNNNNNNNNNNNNNNNNNNNNNNNNNNNNNNNNNNNNNNNNNNNNNNNNNNNNNNNNNNNNNNNNNNNNNNNNNNNNNNNNNNNNNNNNNNNNNNNNNNNNNNNNNNNNNNNNNNNNNNNNNNNNNNNNNNNNNNNNNNNNNNNNNNNNNNNNNNNNNNNNNNNNNNNNNNNNNNNNNNNNNNNNNNNNNNNNNNNNNNNNNNNNNNNNNNNNNNNNNNNNNNNNNNNNNNUGGUGAUGGUGAUGGUGGCGGGGGAGAUUUAUAGUAAUAUGGAGGAGGUGAUGGUGAUGGUGGAGGAGGGCUCUUGUAGUAAUAAGAAGGUGGGGGAGGAGAUUUGUAAUAGUAUGUUGGUGGUGGUGGAGGUGGUGACUUAUAGUAGUAAGGAGGGUGUGGGUGCGGUGAGGGUGAAGGGGGUGGGGGAGAGUUGUAAUAAUAUGGUUUGUGAUAAGGAGUAGGGGAAGGCUUGGGCUUGGGCUUUUCGCAAUCAUAUGACUUUUCAGGAGCAUAAGCAAAUGGCUUAGCCUUGAGCACAACUUCAUACUUAUCCUUGGACUUCACCUUCAAUUUGGUUCCCUCAUUAAGCUUGGUGGGUAUGUUACAGCGUGAAUCCUUAGGAGGAGCAUGGAGUUUAGCCUUGCAGACUGUGGCUCCAUAUUUCACAUAGUCAAAGCCUUCAACAGUGAUGCUGUACUUUCCAUUGCUCUUAGUUUUACCAUAAGCUUUUAUGGUCUUGCUCCCAACUUCACAAGUCACUUCGACCGUGGCACCUAAUUAACGAUGCCAUUAAAUGUGUGGAUCGCACAUGUUAUUGACAAAUCAAUCUAACAUAUAAAACCAUGACAUUAUUGUUUUCUUUAAUUUUAACGGAAGGAAAUGUUUUGUGAACACAAAAUGGGAUAAUAAAGUUAUUUCUUAUAACAUUAUGAUGUGUUUUUAAAACACGUGUACGAAAAAAAAGAAGCAUGUGUUACAUUAAUAAAUCUUUAUUUUUAAAGGUUUAAAUAAUAUAAAUAAAAUUAAAAUAGUUAACCUAUCCUAGCUUUUUCAUAUUUUGAUUGUUGGCUUCAUUGAUUACAUAAGAAAUAGUCGAUUCUAAACAAUAUUUUCUAUUUUCCAACAAAAAUUGUAUUUUUUUUUAUUGAAAUUCCAACUAAAGUCCUCUUCAAAAAAAAAUUGACAACUUUCUGUUUGAAAAGGGUAAUAUAGGUACUUUAAAAAGUAGUAUAUGUUUAGGUUGGUCAUUUGUUUAAUUAGUUAGCAUAGAUCAAGAUUCUCAAAAAUAUUUUUUUGUUAAAAUAUUUUCUCAAAUUGAAACAUGUUUUAUUUCUUAAUUGAAAUGAUAAUUACAAAAAAAAACUAGUUGACUAAAUAAAAAAAGGAGAAAUUAUAACUGUAAAAUUAUUUUAUAUUAGUUUUUUUUACAAAUUUUAUAGAGAAAAGAAAAAAAUGAGAAAAUAUCAAAUAAUUAAAUGAUUUAAUAGAAAAAAUAAAAAAAUAUGACUAAAAUACUAUAAGAAUAUUAUAUUGUAUUAAAAACAACUGUUUAUGUAUAAAUGCAGUUGAACUUCUCUAGACACAACAACACACACAUAACAAUAUCGAUGUAAUUAUACAAAUAAAAAUAUGAGCUUGAAAAAGAAAAAUUAAUUAAAGAAACAUAUAUGGCAGCCAAUGUCCCAAAUUAAAAUUUUGAGAAAAACAAAAGUACAGAUUAAUAUUACCAAAAAGUAACAUUUUUGAAGUAUUCAUAAUAUUAUUAUUGUGAAUGUAUUAGAAUGAAAUAGUAAAAAAAUAAAAGUAAUGUAGGUACCUUUGAGGUGUUUCUUGUUGUGCGACUUUUGGGGGUAUUUCCAGUCAUAACAUCUAUAACAAUAGACUUUACCCACAAUCUUAACAAUCAAUGGGUGAUGAUAUGGGUGAGGGUGAGGAUAUGGAGUGUAUGGAGGAGGCUUAGGAGAUGGUGGAGGCAGAGAUUUAUAGUAGUAAGGCACAUGAGGAGGAUACGGUGAAGGAGGAGGUGGAGACUUAUAAUAGUAAGGUGGAGGAGGUGAAGGAGAUGGUGGAGGAGGAGAUUUGUAGUAGUAAGGUGGUGGAGGAGAUGGUGAAGGAGGAGGCGGAGACUUGUAGUAAUAUGGAGGAGGGGGUGAGGGAGAUGGAGGAGGAGGAGAUUUGUAGUAGUAUGGUGUUGGAGCUGGGUGACUUCUCAGGUGGGGGAGGAGACUUGUAGUAGUAUGGUGGUGGUGGUGAUGGUGAAGGUGGUGGUGGGGACUUGUAGUAGUAAGGAGGUGGAGGUGAUGGAGAGGUGGUGGCGGGAAUUUAUAGUAGUAAGGAGGG
rnacentral:lncRNA from 1 species